CCAGGCUGCCGGUAGGCAUCACAAAGAUCGAAGCAUCAAUGGUUCCUUAUCUGUGCAUGCCUCAGGGAAGGAGCUGGCUCUGCUAGAGGCCAGCAUGAGCAGAGAGAACAGGAAGAGCUCCCAGGGAUGGGAUGUGAGCGCUGUCCUCCGACAAGUCAUCUUCACCGAUCCCAGGGCAGUAUGGCUACAGCUGUCCAGCAAGGUCACUCCAGCAAGGGUCUGGUUCUUUACUAAGAUGAUGAUCAAUCAGAACAGUGCCCAGCUAUUUUUCACAGGACUCAAGGAAGAGAAGGUGGGACCCAUCCUGUCCCUAAAGGGCAGAGUCCAGCACAAUAUUGACAGUUGGGGGGCUGUCCCAAAGCUCCUCGACCUCACCGGAUCUCUCAAACGGAAGAACCACAGCAAUGAGGGGAACCUCAGCAUCCUCAUUGAUGAUGCCAUGUUUGGGCUGCGUCUAAGGGACAAACAUGUGUCGGGGAACAGCAGCGUGCAUAGUGUGACCUGUGUGAUAAUUCAGAAUGGCAGUUGGGCCAUCCCUGACGAGCUUAAGCUGAGGGGACAGCUGCAGACCCAGCCUGAUGGCUACCAUGUCCAUGCUACCUUUCACGCAGAUGAAACCACUUUGUCCCUGGGCACAGCCUGCAUCAUAGCUCCAGGGCAGAGGCAGCUCUCUGCCAAUCUGGCCCACAACAGUAACAAUUUAAGAAAUUCAGGACUGCCCAUGAAUGGAGCGAUUCUGUUCUCCCAUACCUACCUUGCUCCCAACCACAGGCUGACCCUGGGGCUGCAGAGCAAUGAAAGCCAUAUUGAUGCUGCCUUUAGGGUAGAAGUUCCUUCUGGGGAAUUCCCAGAGGCCCGUAUCACUGCCAACCUGAGCCACAAUGUCGAGGACCUUAGGCAGCUUGGUAUCCCCUUUUUGGUUGAAGGAGACUGUUAUUACCAAGUGAGUAAUUACUUAAUGUGGGGUCUUAUUUGACAAAAGGAUGUUUGAGAGUGAGUGAGGAUGAGGAGGAAAGACAAGGGCAGAUGUAAGAUGCUUGGCUGAUCUCAAAUCCCUAACAGUAAAUUACAAUGGGGCAGCCCUCAGGUCAGACUGCAGAGUUUUUCAGUGACCUUCCUGCUUAUUACAAUUGAGAAGGUGGGAAAGAAAAGAGGUCUGCUGGUCCUCAUGGGGUGUGAGCUCUGAGUAGGGAAACAACCAUGGAUCCAGGUUCAGGUCCUUGGCUUUGUAGAUUUAGAAACUUGGUUUUAUCAGUUCACCCAGGAGACUGGGGUACCCACUAGCAAAUGAGAGGGCCA
rnacentral:lncRNA from 1 species